rnacentral:lncRNA from 1 species
GUUGCAGUCCCCUUUUCCCCUGUUCAAUGAGGUACAGCCUCUUGUCCCACGACCAAGAAGAACAAGGCACGCAGACACCAGUGGGGGCUCAUUGGACUUCCUCACAACAUGGCCUCAGCAUUCCAAGAGAGGAAGGAAGUGUGUGGCAUUUUUAUGAUCCAAUCUCAUAAGUGACAUAACAGCACUUCUGCCAUACUCCAAUGGCUGCAGCAGUCACAAAGCUCCACUCAGUCUCCAGGAGAGGGGACGUAGACUCCACCACUCUAUGGGAGGAAUGUCAAGGUCACAUCAAGAUCUUGUUGCAGCCAACAUUGGAAAAUACAAUCUGAUGCAGGACUUGACCCUCAGAUAAUAGGUGGGUUGGAGCCAGAUUCUGAAGGUUUCCAGGCAAAGUGGGAGGUUUGGAGUCCAUCCUGGAGUCAGUGGGAACCAGAGAUAUUGGAGCAGAGAAGUGAAAUGGAAACAGAGGACUAAAAAAAGGUAACUAAAUAGAAAAGACAAGAAUUACAGUCUCCUGAGAUUGUCCCAUUUAAUAUGGCCAGGAUUUUAUUGUCUGAUGCCUUAUCUUUUGUGUUUUGAAGACGAGCCAGACUGACACUAUCAUAAAAAUUAUCAAAUUUAUUCCCAAUGAUUUUGUGUUACUGCACCAAUUUUGUUCCACAAUAGAACUAAAAGCUAAUGGAGGCCUAUAUGUGGCAAUAUGAGUAUGCAAAGUAAAUCAGCAUGUACCAGUUUAUGGAAGUGAUCUUGUUUUAUUCUAUUAGAAAAAAAAUGAUUUUCAUUGUUUAUCAUAGCACUGACUACACACAAAGCGCUAUUCUCUCGCCCCCAUUUGAGGUCUACGUUGGAGGUUUUCUACACACAGGAAGUGUUGGCUUCAGUGGAAAACUUUUGAACAACACAUGACAUUCUCACACAUCUACAGAAUGUGGAUGUGAUUUCAGGUUUAGCAUGGAAGUUUAGUAGCCUGUAAGGAAAGGCUGUGGAGUAAAUUAUUAGUAAAGUAUUCAUCAAAGAAAAUAGUCUAAAAUCUUUUAAGAGCAACAGUAUGUAUUUCUUUCUUUUUGCCAAGAACCUAUUUAAUUUUUAUGCUACAGAAAUACACACUUUUAUCCAUCACAAGUUUAGGUCAAACAUUGUAUCUAAAGACAUUUAAAGAAAUCCAAAAGAGUAAUACUAAAUUAAAGAUACUAUGUAGAAUUUUUUGUACCCAAAAAAUUUCCUAGUACAUUUAUUUCAUCUAUUUCAACAGCUGUAUAUGCAGCCUUCGAUUUACUAGAAAUCUCUCAGCUUAUUUAUGUCUCCCAAUUGCAUUUUUCAUUGCUUGUUUAAUAAGAAGAUAUACGGAUAACUUCAGCCAUUUUUUCCAAGUAUCCCUCGUUAAAAAUCACAGGAAAUGAUUCUCGAAUAAAAUAAAGGUUACAUGUACCUUAGACUUUACAAAUCAGUACUUAUAUAGAAAGAGACAUAUUGUUUUAUGAAAAGAUAUUGGUUUAAUGAUCUAUAUGGAAGUAAUAUUUCAUUCUUAAAAUAACUCUAGUUUUCAUAAGGGAUCCAGUUUUGUACUCACAAUGCGUUUUACGCUGGGGAGAUCUGCCAUUUCCAUAGAACUGAUAUACAGUGUCUUCACUUUUGAAGCCAAGGUAGGGAACAUUCUCUCUCAGAGUAGGCACACAGGAGAAUCUUGCACCUUAUUUGUUUCACAUGUUUAAAUAUUGUCUUUAUCUUCCAAGUGUUUCAAAUUUCUUAAGGUCUGAGACAGUAUCUCUUCCUUGUUAAGGCGUUAAAUAAGAACUUACUGAACUGUUGGAUUCUGUACAAGAAGUAAUGGCUAAACUUACUGCAAUCU